CGCUGGCGGCAUGCCUAAUACAUGCAAGUCGAACGGNAAAACCCUUCGGGGUUUUCAGUGGCGAACGGGUGAGUAACACGUAAGGAACCUGCCUUGAAGACGAGGAUAACCACGGGAAACUGUGGCUAAAACUGGAUAGGACGUUUUAUCGCAUGAUUUAACGUUUAAAGACGCUUUUAAGCGGCACUUCAAGAGGGCCUUGCGGAGCAUUAGCUAGUUGGUAGGGUAACGGCCCACCAAGGUGACGAUGCUUAGCUGGACUGAGAGGUUGACCAGCCACACUGGGACUGAGACACGGACCAGACUCCUACGGGAGGCAGCAGUGGGGAAUAUUGCACAAUGGGCGCAAGCCUGAUGCAGCAACGCCGCGUGAGCGAAGACGGCCUUCGGGUUGUAAAGCUCUGUCAGGGGGGACGAUAAUGACGGUACCCCCAAAGGAAGCCCCGGCUAACUACGUGCCAGCAGCCGCGGUAAUACGUAGGUGGCGAGCGUUAUUCGGAAUUACUGGGCGUAAAGGGUCCGCAGGGGGUCUGUCAAGUCCGGUGUGAAAGCCCGGGGCUCAGCCCCGGGUCUGCAUUGGGAUACUGACGGACUCGAGUGCACGAUGGGAGAGCGGAAUUCCUGGGUGUAGCGGUGGAAUGCGUAGAUAUCAGGAGGGGACACCGGCGGCGAANGCGGCUCUCUGGCGUGCCACUGACCCUCAGGGACGAAAGUGUGGGUAGCAAACAGGAUUAGAUACCCUGGUAGUCCACACCGUAAACUUUGUGCACUAGAUGCGGGCGGCACUCCGGUGUCGUCCGU
rnacentral:rRNA from 1 species